AUUGAACGCUGGCGGCAGGCCUAACACAUGCAAGUCGAGCGGAUGAAGGGAGCUUGCUCCUGGAUUCAGCGGCGGACGGGGGAGUAAUGCCUAGGAAUCUGCCUGGUAGUGGGGGAUAACGUCCGGAAACGGGCGCUAAUACCGCAUACGACCUGCGGGAGAAAGUGGGGGAUCUUCGGACCUCACGCUAUCAGAUGAGCCUAGGUCGGGUUAGCUAGUUGGUGGGGUAAAGGCCUACCAAGGCGACGAUCCGCAACUCGUCUGAGAGGAUGAUCAGCCACACUGGAACUGAGACACGGUCAAGAGUACUACGGGAGGCAGCAGUGGGGAAUAUUGGACAAUGGGCGAAAGUCUGAUCCAGUCAUGCCGCGUGUGUGAAGAAGGUCUUCGGAUUGUAAAGAACUUUAAGUUGGGAGGAAGGGCAGUAAGUUAAUACCUUGCUGUUUUGACGUUACCAACAGAAUAAGCACCGGCUAACUUCGUG
rnacentral:rRNA from 1 species